UGGGGGAUAUUGCACAAUGGGCGAAAGCCUGAUGCAGCGACGCCGCGUGGGGGAUGAAGGCCUUCGGGUUGUAAACUUCUUUUGCUCUGAACAAGGCAUGCCUUUGGGGUGUGUUGAGUGUAGGGGUUGAUUAGCGCCGGCUAACUACGUGCCAGCAGCCGCGGUAAUACGUAGGGCGCGAGCGUUGUCCGGAAUUAUUGGGCGUAAAGGGCUUGUAGGUGGCUGGUUGCGUCUGUCGUGAAAGCUCAUGGCUUAACUGUGGGUUUGCGGUGGGUACGGGCUGGCUUAAGUGCAGUAGGGGAGGCUGGAAUUCCUGGUGUAGCGGUGGAAUGCGCAGAUAUCAGGAGGAAUACCGGUGGCGAAGGCGGGUCUCUGGGCUGUUACUGACGCUGAGGAGCGAAAGCGUGGGGAGCAAACAGG
rnacentral:rRNA from 1 species